AUUGAACGCUGGCGGCAUGCCUUACACAUGCAAGUCGAACGGUAACAGGUCUUCGGAUGCUGACGAGUGGCGAACGGGUGAGUAAUACAUCGGAACGUGCCCGAUCGUGGGGGAUAACGAGGCGAAAGCUUUGCUAAUACCGCAUACGAACUACGGAUGAAAGCGGGGGAUCUUCGGACCUCGCGCGGACGGGGCGGCCGAUGGCAGAUUAGGUAGUUGGUGGGAUAAAAGCUUACCAAGCCGACGAUCUGUAGCUGGUCUGAGAGGAUGAUCAGCCACACUGGGACUGAGACACGGCCCAGACUCCUACGGGAGGCAGCAGUGGGGAAUUUUGGACAAUGGGCGAAAGCCUGAUCCAGCCAUGCCGCGUGCAGGAUGAAGGCCUUCGGGUUGUAAACUGCUUUUGUACGGAACGAAAAGCCUCUUUCUAAUAAAGAGGGGUCAUGACGGUACCGUAAGAAUAAGCACCGGCUAACUACGUG
rnacentral:rRNA from 1 species